AUAACUAUAAUAUAAUAAAAAUAGGUCUAAAUAGUUAAAUAAUAUAAAAAGUUUGAUCCAUAUUUUUUCAUAUAAAGUAAAGGGUAAAGUGGUAUUUGACAUAUUUUUUUGUCUUUUAGCUUAUUACACAUAAUCUAGAUAAUAUAUAGUCUGCCUAAUAUUAUAUCACACAUGCAUGUACAACUCCCUGUUAUCUUAU
rnacentral:sRNA from 1 species